UACGUAGGGGGCAAGCGUUGUUCGGAAUUACUGGGCGUAAAGGGCGCGUAGGCGGCCCGGCAAGUCAGGAGUGAAAGCCCGGGGCUCAACCCCGGAAUGUCUUUUGAAACUGCCGAGCUAGAGUGCGGAAGAGGCAACUGGAAUUCCCAGUGUAGCGGUGAAAUGCGUAGAUAUUGGGAAGAACACCUGAGGCGAAGGCGGGUUGCUGGGCCGACACUGACGCUGAGGCGCGAAAGCCAGGGGAGCGAACGGG
rnacentral:rRNA from 1 species